ensembl:lncRNA novel transcript
AGCACCCCCCCUUUCCUUCUGGGUCCCUUCCCUGCUCCAAACACCCCCAGCUCCCUGGAGACUCAGCCUGGACCACCGCAGACCAUAGAUGGGCAGACACCAGGGCCCGCCUUCAGGCGGAAUUGUGCCCAUCUGUGCUUCAGAGCCUUUCCCUGCACAAUGAAGACGUGGUCUGCACCUCACAUGGUGGCUGCCGUGAGGAUGAAGGACGAGGCUUGGGAAGCCAUCUGCACAGCUUCUGUCCACUGCAGAGGCCCAGAUUUUUGGAUGAGCACACACUCUUCAUACAUGUUAGAAGAUGUAAUGAUCCCAUUGACAAAAACAGAGUGAUAAGACACUUAAGAAUAAAUUCUGCAAGAAACGUAUGCACAACCUAUAUGAAGAGAACACAGACUGUCUGAAUGAAUGGAAGGUAUAUACUGUCCUUAGAGAGGAAGAUUUAACAUCAUAAAUAUUCUAUUCAUCUUUCCACCAGUUCAGACCUCAUCUCAGUUUAGUCUACAAAUUAAACACAACCCCGGUUAAAAUACC